rnacentral:rRNA from 1 species
UACGUAGGGGGCUAGCGUUGUCCGGAAUCAUUGGGCGUAAAGCGCGUGUAGGCGGUUCGGUAAGUCCGCUGUGAAAGUCGGGGGCUCAACCCUCGGAUGCCGGUGGAUACUGUCGGACUAGAGUACGGAAGAGGCGAGUGGAAUUCCUGGUGUAGCGGUGAAAUGCGCAGAUAUCAGGAGGAACACCGGUGGUGGUAGACGGCUUUCUGGACCGUAAC